GUCGCUUUGCCAGAGUGGUUAACGGGUUCGGUUGCUAUUUUCUAUGUCAAGUCCGAAUGCAUUUAUGCUCGUGUGUUCGAAUCGUACAGGUGACG